CAGAGAGACACAUCACCCUGAACAUGCCAGAUCUCUUUUCAUCUCAGAAGCUGAGCAAGGUUAGGCCUGGUUAGUACUUGAAUGGAAGACCACUUGGGAAAACUAGGUGUUCCAGGGU
rfam:Tupaia chinensis contig640, whole genome shotgun sequence.